UCGAGCGGAAAGGCCCUUCGGGGUACUCGAGCGGCGAACGGGUGAGUAACACGUGAGCAACCUGCCCUAGGCUUUGGGAUAACCCUCGGAAACGGGGGCUAAUACCGAAUAUGACCUUAUACCGCAUGGUGUUUGGUGGAAAGUUUUUCGGCCUGGGAUGGGCUCGCGGCCUAUCAGCUUGUUGGUGGGGUGAUGGCCUACCAAGGCGACGACGGGUAGCCGGCCUGAGAGGGCGACCGGCCACACUGGGACUGAGACACGGCCCAGACUCCUACGGGAGGCAGCAGUGGGGAAUAUUGCACAAUGGGCGGAAGCCUGAUGCAGCGACGCCGCGUGAGGGAUGACGGCCUUCGGGUUGUAAACCUCUUUCAGCAGGGACGAAGCGUAAGUGACGGUACCUGCAGAAGAAGCACCGGCCAACUACGUGCCAGCAGCCGCGGUAAGACGUAGGGUGCGAGCGUUGUCCGGAUUUAUUGGGCGUAAAGAGCUCGUAGGCGGCUUGUCGCGUCGACUGUGAAAACCCGCAGCUCAACUGCGGGCCUGCAGUCGAUACGGGCAGGCUAGAGUUCGGUAGGGGAGACUGGAAUUCCUGGUGUAGCGGUGAAAUGCGCAGAUAUCAGGAGGAACACCGGUGGCGAAGGCGGGUCUCUGGGCCGA
rnacentral:rRNA from 1 species